AGAAAGAGGGAACUGUUCAGCCAGAAGGCUAGAGGGAAAGGAGCGAGGGGAGGAGGGAGACAACAGUUUAGAGAAAUAUCAAGUGAUUCUGAGAGUCAAUCAGAUGGUGCCGUGAACAAAAGGUUAAAAAAGGCUAAUCGGGGAAGAGGAAGAGGAAGAGGCGCACCCAAAGGAAAGGGAAGAGGAAAGACAUCCCAAAGAAGAACAACUGAAGCUAAUGCACCUGAACAACAGGAAGAAAAGGACCUAAGUGAUGAAAUACCAAUUAUCAUCCAUGAGCGCAAAAGAUAAGUAAUACCACCUUGAACGAUUUGUUUCCAAUUGAUGGUGCCUCGGAAAUUGAAAUGGAAGAUGGUACCACAAUCAGUUUCCGGGAAUUAGGGGAUGUUUUUGAACAGCACAUGGAUGACUCAGAAGAAGUGCAGGCCCCUGAAGUCAAGGCCCCGGAAGUCCAGGCCCCUGAAAUCCAGGCCUCUGAAGUACAGGCCCCUGAAGUCGAUGCUACCAAAGUCCAGGCCCC